AAUCCUUAAGGGGAAAACAUCCUUUAAGAAAAUGAUUUCUUUUAAAAGGGGAAAAAAAAAAAAAAAAGGAAAGACUCUUUCUUGGUUCUCUCUCUAUAUGACUGUAUCUCAGUCUGCUUUAAGUUGUGUUUCAAAGGGAAUUUAAUUAAGAGGAGGACCCAUGGAUUUGAAGAAGUUCUGCUUGCUAAUCUCUGUUGCGGCUGUGAUUUCGUUGGUCUGUUACCCGCCUUCUGUUACAGCUGGGGACAUAGUGCAUGACGAUGAUUCAUCUCCCAAAAAGCCUGGCUGCGAGAACGACUUCAUCCUGGUAAAAGUUCAAACUUGGGUUAAUGGAAUAGAGAAUGCUGAGUUUGUUGGUGUGGGUGCUAGAUUUGGCACUACCAUUGUGUCGAAGGAGAAAAAUGCAAAUCAAACUCGCCUCACUCUUUCAGAUCCUCGAGAUUGUUGUACUCCUCCCAAGAAAAAGCUUGAUAGGGAUGUCAUUAUGGUUGAUCGAGGCAAGUGCAAAUUCACAACCAAAACAAAUAAUGCAGAAGCUGCCGGUGCUUCUGCUGUCCUUAUAAUAAAUAACCAAAAAGAACUUUACAAGAUGGUUUGUGAGCCAGAUGAAACUGAUCUUGACAUAAAAAUACCUGCUGUUAUGCUCCCACAAGAUGCUGGUGCAAGCUUGGAAAAAAUGCUACUGAAUAGCUCAUCUGUGUCUGUGCAGCUUUACUCUCCGAACCGGCCACUAGUUGAUAUAGCCGAAGUAUUCUUGUGGCUGACGGCAGUUGUUACAAUAUUGUGUGCAUCUUACUGGUCUGCAUGGAGUACCAGAGAAGCAACUAUUGAACAUGACAAGCUAUUGAAGGAUGCUGUGGAUGAAAUUCCAAAUUACAAGGUCAUUGGUGUUAGUAGUGUUGUAGACAUCAACACAACAUCAGCUGUCCUGUUUGUUGUUGUCGCUUCAUGCUUCUUGGUCAUGCUUUACAAACUUAUGUCAUACUGGUUUGUUGAGCUUUUGGUGGUUCUUUUCUGCGUAGGUGGGGUCGAGGGCUUGCAAACCUGCCUAGUUGCUUUAUUAUCAAGAUGGUUCAAGCAUGCAGGAGAAUCAUAUGUUAAAAUUCCUUUCUUUGGAGCUCUUUCAUACCUGACAUUGGCUGUUUCACCAUUCUGCAUAGCAUUUGCUGCUGUUUGGGCUGUGUAUCGCAAUGUCUCCUUAGCCUGGAUAGGCCAAGAUAUAUUAGGAAUUGCAUUGAUAAUCACUGUUCUCCAAAUUGUCCAUGUACCCAACCUCAAGGUGGGAACAGUUCUUCUCAGUUGUGCAUUCUUGUAUGACAUCUUUUGGGUGUUCAUUUCCAAGACGUUGUUCCAUGAAAGUGUUAUGAUUGUGGUGGCGCGUGGUGAUAGAAGUGGAGUGGAUGGUAUCCCCAUGCUGUUAAAGAUCCCACGAAUGUUUGAUCCCUGGGGGGGUUACAGCAUUAUAGGAUUUGGAGACAUCCUUCUACCUGGAUUGCUGAUAGCAUUCUCACUCAGACAAUAGGUUAUCUUCCCAGGUAUGAUUGGUUGGCAAAUAAGUCUCUUCGAGCUGGAUACUUUUUGUGGGCAAUGAUUGCUUAUGGAUUAGGUCUUCUCAUCACAUAUGUAGCCCUGAACUUGAUGGAUGGGCAUGGCCAACCUGCACUGCUCUACAUUGUCCCAUUUACUCUUGGAACCUUUCUGACAUUGGGAAAGAAAAGAGGUGAUCUCAACAAUUUAUGGACUCGUGGAGAACCAGAAAGAUCUUGCCCUCAUGUCCGCCUUGAACACUUGCACGAACUUAACCUGGAAAAAUAACUUCUUUUUUGUUUUAUGUAAUUAUUUUGUAGCGUUUCUCAUCAUCCCCUGUGAAGCUGGUUAAACCAGCUUGUCAGAGCUACCAUAACUUGGAAAAUGUUGUAUGAAAUGAAAUCUUAGAUUAACCUUUUGGCUAACUAUAAAUUAACUACGGUUCGCAA